rnacentral:rRNA from 1 species
GAUGAACGCUGGCGGCGUGCCUAAUACAUGCAAGUCGAGCGAACAGAUCAGGAGUUUGCUCCUCUGACGUUAGCGGCGGAGGGGUGAGUAACACGUGGUUAACCUACCUAUAAGACUGGGAUAACUUCGGGAAACCGGAGCUAAUACCGGAUAAUAUAUUGAACUGAAUGGUUCAAUAGUCAAAUACGGUUUUGCUGUCACUUAAAGAUGGAUCCGCGCCGCAGUAGCUAGUUGGUAAGGUAACGGAUUACCAAGGCAACGAUGCGUAGCCGACCUCAGAGGGUGGUCGGGCAGCUUGGAACAGAGGAAGGGUCCACACUCUGAGGCGAAGACACAGUCGAGAAUCCUCCGGGAAGGGCUAGAGCGUGACCGUGCAACAGCGCGGAAGUGCUGAAGAAGUUCUGACGGGUGAAAGGUGAAAUUAGGAGAAAACAAAUAUGCAAGUACCGGUGCACAUAUUGACGGUACCAAGACAGAAAGCCACGGCUAACUACGUG